UAAAGCUUUAGAAAAAAUAGACAAAUUAUUAUUUUCCAUAGUUCUCUGUAAUCAACAAUCCCAUUACUCAGCCAUGGCUCGUCACCACCUCAACCAUGAUCCCUUCUCAGAUCCGUCUUCGCGGGUCUCCAUCUUCACCAGACUCGCGACCACUACCGUGACGUUCGAUCUCUCUUUCACCUUCUUCUCAACUUCAAAUCGAUUUCUGGGUAUUGUAUAAGCUCCAAUGAUUAUCGAGAAUCAUGGGAUUGCUCAGUUCGUAGCUACGAACCUGGCCAGUAGUUAACCGACGAAGAUGCUGAGAUCAAGCCUCAAGAUCCUGAUCAUGGUGUUUCUCCAAAGUAUCCGGGUUUUGUUCCCGGGUCGAAUCCUGGACAGUACGAUGAACAUAUGAACCGUGGAGCUGGAAUUUAUGCAGUUCAUGUUCAUCAGUUUGGAGGACAUGUGGCUGGUCUUUCCCUCAAACUAUCUCAUCCCUCUCACUUACAAUGUUCCCACAACAAGACCUAGCAAUGAGAACCUGCACAUCAAACGCAAGUGGUGGUGCGGAGAUUUGAGAUCGCCUUUCAGCUUAAUAUAUUCCUCAUACUCAAGCUUGCUGCUGUCAUCUUUUUGUUCAACCAAGAUGGAUAUAGACAACAGCGAUGUCUUGUGAUUUUUGCUACCAUAAUCUACUUGUACCAAUCUGGAUCCCUUGCACCUUUUAUCCGAUGGCUAUCACAAGGUAUGCAUAGAGCACCCGUACCACCACCACAACCUCGAGCUCAUCGACCUACUGCGAGAGGUGAUAAUGAUCCGGUAGUCACAACUUUAUUUUCUUUAUGAAUUUCAAAGUUCUCGUUCUCUCUUCCUGCUAAGGUUUCUCCACUGAUGGUCUCGUUGCCAGCGCUUCCUUUUGAUUCUUACUUCAUUUUCCCAGAAAUAAUUAGAUAAAGGUUUUUGAUCUCCUUGAUCUUUACCAAAGAUGAGGAAAGACUAUGGGCUCUUCGGUGGUUCUGGUGCAUGGAAAACUGUGAUGAUUAUGGGACUGAUCAAUAAUGUUGCCUAAAACUGAAUAUGGAUUGGGCUUAAGAAGAGUCGCUGACUGGAGGUAUAUUUUGUCAAAGAUGACUGCAAAAAUUUGGAGGUAUGUUUUGUCAAAGAUCAGUCCAGCACAGUUGAUAUUCACCACAUGGGGAGAGCUCCUUUCUUGGAUGCUGUAACACUUCUCCGUAACGUUGUUGCUCAAUGUGUGCUCUACCAUAACAUGUUCCUUACAGCUCAUCCUACCUUCAAACAGUUUUUGUAAUCUCUUUCCUUCCAAGGAGUCCCAAAUGGGUAGCUUAAUGUUAAAAAUGUAUGAUGCUUUUCUUGUUUUUAUUUUAUUUUUUGCCUUGGAAGCAUUUCUCUUAGGAAUGAAACUCAUGUAUCUUUUUUCGUGAUAUAAACGUUAGUAGCAAAAAAAAAAAACAAGAAGUUAUAUGGA